GAUGAAGAACGUAGCGAUAUGCAAUACUUGGUGUGAAUUGCAGAAUCCCGUGAACCAUCGAGUUUUUGAACGCAAGUUGCGCCCGAAGCCGUUAGGCCGAGGGCACGCCUGCCUGGGUGUCACACAUCGUUGCCCCAAUGCCAAUCGCCUCACUUUGUAGGUAUUUGCUUGGGGUGAAUGUUGGCCUCCCGUGAGCUUUGUCUCACGGUUGGUUGAAAAUCGAGUGCAUGGUGUCGGGUGUACCAUGAUGGAUGGUGGUUGAGUGAUGAUGCUCGGUGACCCACAUGCGUCCCUUGGAUGCUCCCUAAGGAGACCUCAGGUCAGGCGGGGCUACCCACUGAGUUUAAGCAUAUCAAUAAGCGGAGGA
rnacentral:misc_RNA from 1 species